CGCAUUGGCGGGCAGCUACACAUGCAAGUCGAGCGGUAGCACAGAGAGCUUGCUCUCGGGUGACGAGCGGCGGACGGGUGAGUAAUGUCUGGGAAACUGCCUGAUGGAGGGGGAUAACUACUGGAAACGGUAGCUAAUACCGCAUAACGUCGCAAGACCAAAGUGGGGGACCUUCGGGCCUCAUGCCAUCAGAUGUGCCCAGAUGGGAUUAGCUAGUAGGUGGGGUAACGGCUCACCUAGGCGACGAUCCCUAGCUGGUCUGAGAGGAUGACCAGCCACACUGGAACUGAGACACGGUCCAGACUCCUACGGGAGGCAGCAGUGGGGAAUAUUGCACAAUGGGCGCAAGCCUGAUGCAGCCAUGCCGCGUGUGUGAAGAAGGCCUUCGGGUUGUAAAGCACUUUCAGCGGGGAGGAAGGCGUUAAGGUUAAUAACCUUGUCGAUUGACGUUACCCGCAGAAGAAGCACCGGCUAACUCCGUGCCAGCAGCCGCGGUAAUACGGAGGGUGCAAGCGUUAAUCGGAAUUACUGGGCGUAAAGCGCACGCAGGCGGUCUGUCAAGUCGGAUGUGAAAUCCCCGGGCUCAACCUGGGAACUGCAUUCGAAACUGGCAGGCUAGAGUCUUGUAGAGGGGGGUAGAAUUCCAGGUGUAGCGGUGAAAUGCGUAGAGAUCUGGAGGAAUACCGGUGGCGAAGGCGGCCCCCUGGACAAAGACUGACGCUCAGGUGCGAAAGCGUGGGGAGCAAACAGGAUUAGAUACCCUGGUAGUCCACGCCGUAAACGAUGUCGAUUUGGAGGUUGUGCCCUUGAGGCGUGGCUUCCGGAGCUAACGCGUUAAAUCGACCGCCUGGGGAGUACGGCCGCAAGGUUAAAACUCAAAUGAAUUGACGGGGGCCCGCACAAGCGGUGGAGCAUGUGGUUUAAUUCGAUGCAACGCGAAGAACCUUACCUGGUCUUGACAUCCACAGAACUUUCCAGAGAUGGAUUGGUGCCUUCGGGAACUGUGAGACAGGUGCUGCAUGGCUGUCGUCAGCUCGUGUUGUGAAAUGUUGGGUUAAGUCCCGCAACGAGCGCAACCCUUAUCCUUUGUUGCCAGCGGUUAGGCCGGGAACUCAAAGGAGACUGCCAGUGAUAAACUGGAGGAAGGUGGGGAUGACGUCAAGUCAUCAUGGCCCUUACGACCAGGGCUACACACGUGCUACAAUGGCAUAUACAAAGAGAAGCGACCUCGCGAGAGCAAGCGGACCUCAUAAAGUAUGUCGUAGUCCGGAUUGGAGUCUGCAACUCGACUCCAUGAAGUCGGAAUCGCUAGUAAUCGUAGAUCAGAAUGCUACGGUGAAUACGUUCCCGGGCCUUGUACACACCGCCCGUCACACCAUGGGAGUGGGUUGCAAAAGAAGUAGGUAGCUUAACCUUCGGGAGGGCGCUACCACUUGAUCCGGGA
rnacentral:rRNA from 1 species